GGCUGGAUGGUCUAGUGGUAUGAUUCUUGCUUUGGGAGAUCGGGUAUUCACUCGAUUCUAUUUGUAAGAGGUCUCGGGUUCAAUCCCCGAUCCAGCCC